UUAAAAUUAAAUUACUUUUUUAAUAAGUUAUUUAAUUAUUAUUAAUAAAAAUAAUUUUAAUUUUAUAUGUUUUUGUAAAUUUUAUUGAUAAAAUAAUAUUAGUUAUAGUAAAAUAGUAUAGUUAUAGAAAUUUGAAAUAUUUAAUUUUUUAAAAUAAAAGUAAUUUUAAUUUAAUGUACCUUUUGUAUCAGGGUUUAUUAAAUAAAUUUUAUUUAAAAUAAAAUUCUCGAAUUUAAGAGAGCUAAAAUUAUAUGAAAUUUAUUGUAUUAAAAAUAUUUUUAAUAAAAUUUUAGUAAUGAAAUGUUAGUCGAUCUUAAAUAUAUCUAGUUUUUUAAGAAAUGAAUUUAAUUCAUAUAUUUUUAUAAAUAAAUUUUAUUAUAAAAUAUUUAUUAAAAUAAAAAUAUAAAAAUUUUUAGGGAUUAGCUUAAAAAUUAUAUUUAUAAAUAAUUUAAUUAUUUAAAAAUAAUAGGAUUAGAAAUGUCUAUUUAAAAUUAAAGUGUUAUAAUUAAUUUAAUUUUAAUUUUUAUUUAUUUAGUGUUUUAAAUAUUUUAUUAAAAUAAUUUUAAUAAUAAUUAUAAAUUGUAAUAAUGAUAAAAUUAGUAUUAUUUUAUUUAGAAAUAAAAAUUUUAUUAAAGAUUAAAAUAAGGAAUUCAGCAAAUAUAAAUACUCACCUGUUUAUCAAAAACAUGUCUUUUUGUUUAUAAUAUAAAGUCUAACCUGCCCACUGAUAAAUUAUUGAAGGGCCGCAGUAUAUUGACUGUGCAAAGGUAGCAUAAUCAUUUGUCUUUUAAUUGAAGGCUAGAAUGAAUGGUUGAAUGAAGUAUUGACUGUCUCAUUUUAAAAAAAAUAAAAAUUUAGCUUUUUAGUCAAAAGGCUUAAAUAAAUUUAAAGGACGAGAAGACCCUAUAGAUCUUUAUAAUAAUAUUAUUGUAAUAAAUAGAAAUUUUAAUAAUUAUAAUAUAAUUUAUUAUUUUAUUGGGGUGAUAGGAAAAUUUAUAAAACUUUUUUUUUAUUAAAACAUAGAUUAAUGAUUUAAUGAUCCAAUAUUAUUGAUUAAAAGUUUAAGUUACCUUAGGGAUAACAGCGUAAUUUUUUUGAAGAGUUCUUAUCGAUAAAAAAGAUUGCGACCUCGAUGUUGAAUUAAAGGUUAUUUCUAGAUGUAGAAGUUUAGAGUUUAGGUCUGUUCGACCUUUGAAUCUUUACAUGAUUUGAGUUCAGACCGGCGUGAGCCAGGUCGGUUUCUAUCCUUAAUUAAUUAAAAUAUUUUAGUACGAAAGGACCAAAUAUUAAAAAUAUUUUUUAAUUAUAAUUGAAUAAUAAAAAUU
rnacentral:rRNA from 1 species